rnacentral:rRNA from 1 species
GACGAACGCUGGCGGCGUGCUUAACACAUGCAAGUCGAACGGAAAGGCCCUGCUUUUGUGGGGUGCUCGAGUGGCGAACGGGUGAGUAACACGUGAGUAACCUGCCCUUGACUUUGGGAUAACUUCAGGAAACUGGGGCUACUACCGGAUAGGAGCUCCUGCUGCAUGGUGGGGGUUGGAAAUUUUCGGCGGUUGGGGAUGGACGCGCGGCUUAUCAGCUUGUUGGUGGGGUAGUGGCUUACCCAGGCUUUGAAGGGUAGCCGGCCUGAGAGGGUGACCGGCCACAUGGGGACUGAGAUACGGCGCAGUGGGCAACGGGAGGCAACAGGGGGGAGUAUGGCACAAUGGGCGGAAGCCUGAUGCAGCAACGCCGCGUGCGGGAUGACGGCUUGUGGGUUGUGAACCGCUUUCGCCUGUGACGAAGCGUGAGUGACGGUAAUGGGUAAAGAAGCACCGGCUAACUACGUG